CCUUGACGACGACUGGCGCACGGGUGAGUAACGCGUAUCCAACCUUCCCAUGACCACGGGAUAACCCGUUGAAAGACGGCCUAAUACCGUAUGACGUCGUUUGCCGACAUCGAAAGAUGACCAAAGGUUUGGCGGUGAUGGAUGGGGAUGCGUCUGAUUAGCUUGUUGGCGGGGUAACGGCCCACCAAGGCGACGAUCAGUAGGGGUUCUGAGAGGAAGGUCCCCCACAUUGGAACUGAGACACGGUCCAAACUCCUACGGGAGGCAGCAGCA
rnacentral:rRNA from 1 species